rnacentral:tRNA from 2 species
AGUAAGGUAAACUAGGGGUAAGUUAUCAGACUCAUAAUCUGAGUAGGAAGGUUCAACUCCUUCCCUUACAA